GUCUAUGGCCAUGCUACCCUGAACAAGCCCGAUUCUGUCUGAUCUCAGAAGCUAAGCAGGGUCGAGCCUGGUUAGCAAUUGGAUGGGAGAUUACUUAGAAAGACCAGAUGCUGUAGGCA
rnacentral:rRNA from 1 species